rnacentral:tRNA from 1 species
GGGAACGUGGUCUAAUGGUCACGACAGCGGAAUGUCGCUCCGCAAACGAGGGUUCGAUUCCCUUCGUUCCCG